GGCCUACAGGAGCUUAGGUUCGCAGUCAUUCCCACUCACUCAUACACAUGCCACACUCGGAUCUGAAUUCACUGAUAGUUUGUUGGCUUCCCCCACCCCCAACACACACUGAAAACCCGCCUAUUUGGCCCUGCGGGCCCCAUUUUCAAAGCGCAGGUUCCGAUUUCCCGAGAGAUGGCAAAGGCCCUGGCAGGAAGUUUACAGGGUUUAACGUAAACAAGUUGUGGGGGAUUCUUUAAUAAUAAUAAUAGAAAAUUCCGCGUGCGCUGGGAGGGAGGGGGGGAGUUGGCCUAAUGCCCCUGUGGGCUCGGCCUGCCGCCGCCGCGGGGGCCUCUGACAUUGCGCACCAGGCCAGGUUUUUGAGAGCAGACAGCGCGGGCGGGGAGCACGGGCCAGGGCGGCCCUAGCGCGCCUGGCUGCCAGCCCUCAGGGUGCUCCCAUGGAGGCCUGCCCUUGCUACCCCUAAGCGUUGCGGUGCGGGCUGGGGGCGGUGGAGCCAGGAAAGGUGGUGCGGAGAGCCGAGCGCAGGACCGCGCCGGAGUCACUUCUCAACGCGGUGCGCACAGACCCAGGAUUUGUGAAGAGGUGACCCAAAUUUAAAGACAACGUUGGAUGCAAACCGAUUUGCCAGCAAUUGGGUCACCAUCAAAACCAGCUCUGAACGUGUCUUCCAAAGAUACCAAGUGAAAUACGUACAGAUGGGAUUUACGUCUGAAAAACCAGAGCAGGAGUCCGUGGGAAGGGACGGAGGUGGAACAGGACUGGACCAGAACAGAACUGGACUGGCAAGUGGUUGUUGCUGAGUACUGGGCAAAUGGAGGAGUCAAGACCUCUGCAGCAGGUCAUGGCGUUUCACAGAACCCGCAAGGAGAGGAAUCCAUGCCUGCACCUGUCAUGGGAAUCCUUCAGAAGGGAAGGCUGAGAGCAGCAAGCCAUACAAAAUGAUUCCCAGACCAGGAUGAACGGUCACCUUCCCUGCCUACCUCGGCAUGAGGCUCCCUCCAGCUGGCAGUCCUAGAAGGCUUCUAGUCGGGCUUCUAAUCGGUGCUGGGAGGGGAGGUCAAAGAAGAGAAAAUCCAGGAACCUCUGCCACCGCCUCGACCAGAGAGACAGCAUCGCAGCUCUGGGUUUGUCUGGACUGCCGGGGCCACUGUGUGCUGCGUCAUCCAAGGACUCCCGUGCUCGGCUGAGCCAGUCUUCUCUUGCUGCAGGCGUAAGUGUCCCUGCUCUUUGAUCCACCGCUCCCCUGUGGUUUCUCCUGUGACCCAUGGAUGAUUUGGAAGAGUGUUCCUUAAUUUCCAAGUCUCUUGGGAUUUUUUUCUAGAUAUUUUCUUGCUGAUUUCUAACUUAAUUCCAUUGUGGUCAGGGAACAUCUUCUGGACAUUGAGUCUUCUGCAAUGGAUUACAACUCUUUUCGUGGUCCAGCAUGUGGUCUGUCUUGAGGAAUGCUUCACAUGCACUCACAAAGAGUGAGCGUUCCACGAUUGUUGAGUCAGCAUUCUAUACGUUCUGUUACGUCAAGGUGCUUGCUAGUGUUGUUCCAGUCUUCUGUAUCUUCACUGAUUUCCUUUGCCUGCUUUGGUCAACUACUGAGAGCAGGAUUUUAGCAUCUCCAAUUAUGAUGGUUGAUUUCUUGGUUUCUCCUUUUUUACUACAAAAUUUUGCUUUAUGAUAUUUUCAGGCUUUGUUAUUAGGAAUAUACACAUUUACCUAUUCACAUAGGUUAAUGUACAUAUACAGGUAUAUUUAUUAAUCAUAACAUUAACAAAUAUACAUAAAUUUAUUAACAUACAUUAAUAUGCAUUAAUUGAUGCAUAUUAAUACACAAA